AUUGAACGCUGGCGGCAUGCUUUACACAUGCAAGUCGAACGGCAGCGCGGGCUUCGGCCUGGCGGCGAGUGGCGAACGGGUGAGUAAUGCAUCGGAACGUGCCCAGUAGUGGGGGAUAGCACGGCGAAAGCCGGAUUAAUACCGCAUACGACCUGAGGGUGAAAGCGGGGGACCGAAAGGCCUCGCGCUAUUGGAGCGGCCGAUGUCGGAUUAGCUAGUUGGUGGGGUAAAGGCUUACCAAGGCGGCGAUCCGUAGCUGGUCUGAGAGGACGACCAGCCACACUGGGACUGGGACACGGCCCAGACUCCUACGGGAGGCAGCAGUGGGGAAUUUUGGACAAUGGGGGCAACCCUGGUCCAGCCAUGCCGCGUGCGGGAAGAAGGCCUUCGGGUUGUAAACCGCUUUUGUUCGGGAAGAAAUCCUCUGGGCUAAUACCCCGGGGGGAUGACGGUACCGGAAGAAUAAGCACCGGCUAACUACGUG
rnacentral:rRNA from 1 species